UGGGUUGAUAGGCCGGAGAUGGAAGCCCUGUGAGGGGUUGUGAGUUGACCGGUACUAAUAGGCCGAGGGCUUGCCAUG
rnacentral:rRNA from 1 species